GACAGAGGAUGCAAGCGUUAUCCGGAAUGAUUGGGCGUAAAGCGUCUGUAGGUGGCUUUUCAAGUCCGCCGUCAAAUCCCAGGGCUCAACCCUGGACAGGCGGUGGAAACUACCAAGCUGGAGUACGGUAGGGGCAGAAGGAAUUUCCGGUGGAGCGGUGAAAUGCAUUGAGAUCGGGAGGAACACCAGAGGCGAAAGCGGCUUUCUGGGCUGUAACUGACGCUGAGGCGCGAAGGCUAGGGGAGCAAACAGG
rnacentral:rRNA from 1 species